rnacentral:lncRNA from 1 species
UGGGUCGCCUUGAAGGAGGGGACGACGGCGGGGGAGGGGCGGGGAGGGAAAAGAGAGAGGAAAGUGCGAAGAGAAAGAGGGAAAAGAAGGCGGUGCCGACAGGGCUCAAGGCCGGAGAGAAGGACGAAAGAAGAGGAGGACGGCGGGAAUGGGCGCGCACAAGGACAACAAGAGGAAAGGUGUGUUUGUCGAGGAGGGGGCAAAAUGGCAGCGCGACACCACGGCGGGGCGGGUCGCCGCACGUCGCGCUUGAGUCUUCCCUGCGCGAGCCUCCUGCCAAUCGACCAAAAAAGGCCGCCUGGUGUCGCCUUCUCUCUCGUGUUUGUGUCCCCUUUGAGCGGGAAAAAAGGAACCGGCGCGUCCAUUUGUCGUGCGUGGCACACACCAACACGCCAUGAAAAGCCGCGACGACAACGGCGACUCGAAAAAAAAAAAGGAUUUCUUUUGGGAGAGGAAGGGCACAAGAUAAAAUAGAGCAGAGAGACAGAAAACCCAAGGGGCAGGGCAGACAAAAAGAGCAGACAGCGGCAAGCGGCCAGAUAGUGAAAAGAGCGAAGGGUCAUAGCGCGGGCUCGGGCGACUGCGCCGUACGGGGCAUGAUCUGCAGGUCCCACGCGCCGUCGCAGCGGCGCUGGGCGACGAGCGCUACGCGCGCGUUAUCGUCGUGCGCGUAGGCGUCAUACGCGGCGAUCACACGGUCGCGGCCGAUCCUCGUCAUGCACGAAAAGGACUCUGCACUGUGCCAAAUCCGUGGAUCCCUGCGGCGGCAUAGCCAGACGAGGCGAUCCGCGCAAAGGUCCGCGCGCGGCGCCAGCAUAUCCUGCGACGUCACCACGAGGUGCACGCCCAGGUUUGCGAUCUCGUCGACCAGCGCGCAGCCCCGAUCGGUGCACCAGUAGAGGUCGUCCACAAGCACGAGGACGCCCUCGCGGGCAUAAGCGCGCACGAGCGGCCCGAUGGCCUGCCACAUGCCGGCCACGUCGGCUGCAUCAAAGCCGCACCCAUUGUCGACGUGCGCGGCCUCGUGCUCGGCAAUACCCAGGCCGGCAAACACUUGGCGCAGGUCGCCGUCAUUGGCCACGACGCACACGACGUGCCUGACGCGCCUCACCAACACGCGGGCAAGGCGCACGGCGGCCGUUGUCUUGCCUGUGCGGCGCGCGCCUACCACAUGGGUAGUCGAGCCGCCUCCCGGUCGAGGCGCGGGCGAGACGCCGCGCCAAACCAGAGCGCGCACGCCAAAGUGGGCGCCCGCUAUUUCGGCCCACCCCGCCAGCAGGCGACGGGCCACACGGCAAAAUUCGGGCGAACCGCGGAGCGGUGCGUACGCCAGGGCGAGCCAUGCGCGCAGGACCUCGGCGUCAAUCACGUCGUCGUCCUCGUUCUUUUGAUCAGCCAGGGCGACGGCGGCCGCGCGCCAGGCCUCGCCGACGAGAUGGUGCCAAAAGACCUCUUCCAAAGCCAGCGAGGGCAGGUCCGCAAAGAGGGCAACGCUCUCUGUGAACUCGUCGUCGUUGUCGCCGUCGACGGGCAACGGCCACGGGCACCCGGCGGGGCGCGCCAGAUGCGCCACGCCCACGUCAUAAUGCAUUUUCCCUUUUCCCUCUUUUUUCCUCUUCCUUUCGUUCGUGUUAAACACCCGAGGCC